ACCUCAUCGUGUCCGCCAUCUUGGGGCGACGGCCAGAAGUCCAGGGCUAGGAGCCUCAGCCGGCGGACGCCAGGAAACAGCCAAGAACUGAACCAAAAUACAAACAACAUAAACUACCACUUGAUGAGAAGAACUUCAAAGUCAAAUUGCAAAAGGUGACUAAAAAAGGGGAGUACUUUCAGCCGUUUUCAAAAUAAUCUAUGAUAUGUACUGGAAAACUUCUAAUAAUCCUUGUCAUUUUACAACUUUCCCACAGUUAGAUCAUCAGCAAAUGUCACUUGGAUCCCUAGCUAAAUUGUUCUUCCCAGAAAAUAGUUAUCUCCACUAUGGAAAGUAUUUUAUCAGAAGAAUUCGUAGAAGUAGAAUCUGUUUGUCUUCAGUUAAACAAAAGAAGAACCUCAUUGCUUUCCAACUGGGCCCCGGCCAUUUUCCAGUUGAAACAUCAAAUAUUUUAUUUGUGUCUUUCACUGCCAAUUAAAGGGCAACAGAAAUGGUACAGGCUCCCUCUGCAGUGGAAUUACCCUUAUGUCUUUUCUGUCUAUGCUGAUCCACCUGAUCUUGAACUGGUGCUAUUCCAUGGGGAAAAUUGGAACAUGGGGCAAUUAACACUUUCUCCACUUUAUCCCAUCAACAGGAAAUUGAAAUAUAACCAACUAACUCAGGAGACAUCAUGGAAGAUGUCACACAGUGAAUGAUGAUGAAGCAGAAUUUUUAAAAUGUGUAGGAUUACGAGAAGUGGGGUCAUUUUUCUUUGUGUAUGGUAUUGCUGAUGCAGUUUAAUGCUCCAUUACUUCUAAAUUUUCAUCAUAAGCUAGAUUUUCCAGUUGUGGUUUCUAUAAAGAAAAACAAACAUUCUGAAGACAGUUUUUCCAGAUUUAUUCCAGAUAUCGAUGAUUAACUUUUGAAGAAAUAUCUGAAUGAAAUGCUCAUGAAAGGAUUAAGAAAGUCUGCAGUUGAGCCUGGAGCCAGCAAAAGACAUCAUCACUAAAAGUAUAUGCAUGACCCGCAUUUGUUGCCUUUAUGGUCCUUACCCAAGAUAUUUGAAUUCACCAGAAUGGUCUUAAUAUGGUAUUGUAAGUACCUGGAUCUGAAAACCAUUAAGUAUGAGAGUGCGCUGUAUUGGUGAUGCCAGUUUGUGGACUCCUUAUGUAAAUAAAUGAAGGACAAGUUAAAAACUGCAGUCACUCAUGUGAAAUAUAAAAGGCUGGCAGAAUACGGCUAAAUGUCGAGGUCUAGCCCAAUGUGUGAGAUUUAGAGAAAUCAUGUAUUCCAAUAAAAUCAGAUAUACUCCUGAAA
rnacentral:lncRNA from 1 species